UGCAGUCACUACUGUGAAUCACUCUGGAUAAGAGUGUCUGCUAAAUGACGUAAA
rfam:Salmo salar isolate Sally breed double haploid chromosome ssa10, whole genome shotgun sequence.